GCAAGGUGCUUAUAAUAAUUCCCAUGCAUUCUCAUCGCCUGAGACUAACGAGUACACCCAUUAUAUUCCACCCGCACGUGGUUCUGUUUGGUAGAAAUAUGUCCAUUUUAUCUGUAAAUCAAGAGUUUCUUUCUCUUAUCUUUUUAAGAGCGGAUUUUCCACCAGGAACUCCUGGAUUUAUCUUAUUUUACCUUGUAUAUUUUUAUAAGAAAAAAAUUCGUGAAUAUUGAAAUUUGAUGAUAUUUUCUUCUGGGAGCAGCGGUCUGGAGACGAGGCUGGAGCAAGAGCGAUCUAGUGUGGCCGGAAAUGAGGAAGCGGCAGAAGCAGGACCGAACCAUGUGCCUACACCAACAGUGCCCGUUACCUCUCAAGAAGGGGGACAGGAAUCAGGUGACUCCGAUAGGAAGAAUAGUUAUGGACUUCAUACGACGUCUUUAGAUACUAUCCACAAGAAAUCUCCUGUUACGGACACCGGUCAGCUGAAUAAACUGCACUCUAGAGCAGCCACAGUUAGUGUUUCAACAAGGAACCACAUAGCCAAAUAUUUUCCAAACACUUCCUCGGAGUCCGAUUUACAAAAGUGUCGAACUUCUUGCCCUUGGGACCAAACCCUCUCCUUGAACAAUGUUGGAGUUUCAGAAGCCAUCAGACAAAAGUUUGCACUGCCAGAUAACGGAUCGGCCAAAUUUUUUCAAGGCGCUCUUCACACACCCAAAAUGACAGAGAAAGUCGCAGAGGUAAGAUGCUUUCACCUCUCUUGAAAACCAUACCCGAAUCCGCGCCUCUUACUGUAGCGUAGCGUUGAACCUGCUUCUAUCAAACACUCUCGUUCAAGACCGAAAAUUAUGUUUUGCCAACGCUUAUUUACUUAUUUUUAUAAUGCAUCGGCUCCAUGAGUCAUAAUUUAUUUCGAUGGUUGAUGUGUGUAGAAAACCUUCAUUUCUUUAAAGAAAUACGCAACUUAUCAAGCCACCACGUUUAUGGAUGGGCCAUCUUACAUGACGUCUGAACACGCAACUAUUCGUACUCCGGGGAUGUGCGUGGUGCAUAUCCAAAAAAUUGAAGGCGUUUCGACUUCCUUGCCUUUGCUUUCUUUAAAACGAAAGACGCAACUUAUCAAGCCACCACGUUUAUAGAUGGGCCAUCUUACAUGAUACCGACAAUCACGUCUGAACACGCAACUAUUCGUACUCCGGGGAUGUGCGUGGUGCAUAUACAAAAAAUUGAAGGAGUUUCGACUUCCUUGCCUCUGCCUUCCCUUCUUGCCGCGCUAUGCUUUGCAGCGUACCGUGAUGAUCAAAAGUCCUAGGACUUUGCUUUUGAGGCAAAAGACGUAAAGUGAGGAUUAAUUAGGUGGAAGAAGGGGGUGGGGAAGGUGGUAAGUACAAAAUAAAAGUGAACUGAGCGGCCGUCUUGACAGAUUUUCUUGUGCCUUUUUUUUCUAGAAGUCAUCCCCAGGAGCUGAUGAAAAUUUAGCUUGUCUCGGUAGUAUUACGGACAUCGUUUUCAAAGAGCG
rnacentral:lncRNA from 1 species